rnacentral:rRNA from 1 species
GAGUUUGAUCGUGGCUCAGGAUGAACGCUAGCGGCAGGCUUAACACAUGCAAGUCGAGGGGCAGCAAGGGUAGCAAUACCUGUUGGCGACCGGCAAACGGGUGCGGAACACGUACGCAAUUUACCUCUGUCUGGGAGAUAGCCCGGAGAAAUCCGGAUUAAUACCCCAUAAUAUAUUUAGGUGGCAUCAUUUGAAUAUUAAAGCUCAGGCGGACAGAGAUGAGCGUGCGUCCCAUUAGCUAGUUGGUAAGGUAAUGGCUUACCAAGGCGACGAUGGGUAGCUGGUGUGAGAGCACGACCAGCCACACGGGCACUGAGACACGGGCCCGACUCCUACGGGAGGCAGCAGUGAGGAAUAUUGGUCAAUGGGCGCAAGCCUGAACCAGCCAUGCCGCGUGGAGGAUGAAGGCCUUCUGGGUUGUAAACUUCUUUUAUUGGGGAAGAAACCUCUGAUUUCUAUCGGAGCCGACGGUACCCAAGGAAUAAGCACCGGCUAACUCCGUGCCAGCAGCCGC